rnacentral:rRNA from 1 species
UACGUAGGGGGCUAGCGUUGUCCGGAAUCAUUGGGCGUAAAGAGCGCGUAGGCGGCCAGAUAAGUCCGGUGUGAAAGUCAAAGGCUCAACCUUUGAAUGCCGCUGGAAACUGUCUGGCUAGAGUCCGGGAGGGGCGAGUGGAAUUCCUGGUGUAGCGGUGAAAUGCGCAGAUAUCAGGAGGAACACCAAUGGCGAAGGCAGCUCGCUGGAACGGUACUGACGCUGAGGAGCGAAAGCCAGGGGAGCAAACGGG